CGCGGGAUGGAGCAGUUUGGUAGCUCGUCGGGCUCAUAACCCGAAGGUCGUAGGUUCAAAUCCUACUCCCGCAA
rfam:Anaerococcus prevotii ACS-065-V-Col13 contig00019, whole genome shotgun sequence.